rnacentral:rRNA from 1 species
UACGUAGGGGGCAAGCGUUGUCCGGAUUUAUUGGGCGUAAAGAGCUCGUAGGCGGCUUGGCAAGUCGGGUGUGAAAACUCCAGGCUCAACCUGGAGAUGCCACUCGAGACUGCUAUGGCUAGAGUCCGGUAGGGGACCACGGAAUUCCUGGUGUAGCGGUGAAAUGCGCAGAUAUCAGGAGGAACACCGGUGGCGAAGGCGGUGGUCUGGGCCGUAACUGACGCUGAGGAGCGAAAGCAUGGGGAGCGAACAGG